rnacentral:tRNA from 1 species
GUUAAUGUAGCUUAACAAUAAAGCAAAGCACUGAAAAUGCUUAGAUGGAUACUCAAUCCCAUAAA